UACGUAGGGUGCGAGCGUUGUCCGGAAUUAUUGGGCGUAAAGAGCUCGUAGGCGGCUUGUCGCGUCGAAUGUGAAAGCCCGGGGCUUAACUCCGGGUCUGCAUUCGAUACGGGCAGGCUAGAGUUCGGUAGGGGAGAUCGGAAUUCCUGGUGUAGCGGUGAAAUGCGCAGAUAUCAGGAGGAACACCGGUGGCGAAGGCGGAUCUCUGGGCCAUUACUGACGCUGAGGAGCGAAAGCGUGGGGAGCGAACAGG
rnacentral:rRNA from 1 species